AGCGCGAGCGCCGGGCAGCCCCGUCCUCCUCCUCCUCCUCCAUCAUCUCCUUUGCAUCGCUGCAAUUAAAAUCAAUGAACCGAGUUUUCUCCCUGGCCCAGAGCACCCACUAAAUCGGUUUGGAUGAUUCGCGAUCUGAGCAAGAUGUACCCUCAAAGCAGACACCCGGCACCGCAUCAGCCUGCUCAACCCUUCAAAUUCACCAUUUCCGAAUCCUGUGAUCGGAUUAAGGAGGAGUUUCAGUUUUUACAGGCUCAGUACCACAGUUUAAAGCUAGAAUGUGAGAAACUGGCCAGCGAAAAGACAGAGAUGCAGCGACAUUAUGUCAUGUAUUAUGAAAUGUCCUACGGGUUGAACAUAGAAAUGCAUAAACAGGCAGAAAUUGUCAAGAGGCUGAAUGCCAUAUGUGCCCAGGUCAUUCCUUUCUUAUCCCAGGAGCACCAGCAACAAGUGGUGCAGGCUGUGGAACGUGCCAAGCAAGUGACCAUGGCAGAACUGAACGCAAUCAUUGGGCAGCAGCAACUCCAGGCCCAGCAUUUGUCACAUGGACACGGUCUCCCAGUGCCUCUCACCCCACACCCUUCAGGAUUGCAACCACCAACCAUCCCACCCAUUGGCAGCAGCGCUGGCCUUUUAGCCUUGUCGAGUGCCCUUGGGGGUCAGUCCCAUCUCCCGAUCAAAGAUGAAAAGAAGCAUCAUGAUAACGACCACCAAAGAGAUAGAGACUCCAUAAAGAGCUCAUCUGUGUCUCCAUCAGCCAGUUUCAGAGCCUCUGAGAAGCACAGAAACUCAACAGACUACUCCUCUGAAAGCAAAAAACAGAAAACAGAAGAAAAAGAAAUAGCAACUCGCUACGACAGUGAUGGUGAAAAGAGUGACGACAACUUAGUGGUUGAUGUUUCCAAUGAGGAUCCUUCAUCACCACGAGGAAGCCCAGCACAUUCUCCAAGGGAAAAUGGCUUGGACAAGACCCGUCUACUCAAGAAAGAUGCACCAAUUAGCCCAGCCUCAAUAGCAUCUUCCAGCAGCACUCCUUCCUCCAAAUCCAAAGAACUUAGCCUUAAUGAGAAGUCCACUACCCCUGUGUCUAAAUCGAGUACCCCCACUCCACGGACUGAUGCUCCAACUCCCGGCAGUAAUUCUACACCAGGAUUGAGGCCUGUGCCUGGGAAGCCACCAGGAGUCGACCCAUUAGCUUCAGGCCUAAGAACGCCCAUGGCAGUACCUUGUCCUUACCCUGCCCCGUUUGGAAUAGUGCCCCACGCUGGGAUGAAUGGGGAGCUGACCAGCCCUGGUGCUGCCUAUGCAGGUCUCCAUAACAUCUCUCCUCAAAUGAGUGCAGCAGCAGCUGCCGCCGCCGCAGCAGCAGCGUAUGGAAGAUCUCCAGUGGUUGGGUUUGAUCCACAUCAUCAUAUGCGAGUCCCAGGCAUCCCUCCCAAUCUGACAGGCAUCCCAGGAGGAAAACCGGCAUACUCAUUUCAUGUAAGUGCAGAUGGCCAAAUGCAGCCUGUACCGUUUCCUCCUGAUGCCCUCAUUGGGCCAGGAAUCCCACGUCAUGCUCGGCAGAUUAACACCCUGAACCACGGGGAAGUGGUAUGUGCAGUUACGAUCAGCAACCCCACAAGGCAUGUGUACACUGGUGGGAAGGGAUGUGUCAAGGUCUGGGAUAUCAGUCAUCCGGGGAACAAGAGCCCUGUCUCUCAGCUGGAUUGCCUGAACAGAGAUAACUACAUCCGCUCCUGCAGAUUGCUCCCCGACGGCCGCACCCUGAUUGUUGGCGGGGAAGCCAGCACGUUAUCCAUUUGGGACCUGGCAGCUCCAACUCCGCGUAUAAAAGCAGAGUUGACAUCUUCGGCUCCUGCCUGCUACGCUCUGGCAAUCAGCCCUGAUUCCAAGGUCUGCUUCUCCUGCUGUAGCGAUGGGAACAUUGCAGUCUGGGAUCUGCACAAUCAAACUCUGGUCAGGCAAUUCCAGGGCCACACAGAUGGAGCCAGUUGUAUUGAUAUUUCAAAUGAUGGCACUAAGCUCUGGACAGGAGGCCUGGACAAUACAGUGAGAUCCUGGGACCUAAGGGAAGGCAGGCAGCUACAGCAACAUGACUUCACAUCACAGAUCUUCUCACUGGGUUAUUGCCCAACUGGAGAAUGGUUGGCAGUCGGAAUGGAGAACAGCAAUGUUGAAGUGCUGCAUGUCACAAAACCAGACAAGUAUCAACUUCAUCUUCAUGAGAGUUGUGUGUUAUCCCUGAAGUUCGCUCACUGCGGCAAAUGGUUUGUAAGCACUGGAAAAGACAACCUUCUGAAUGCUUGGAGAACACCUUAUGGAGCCAGCAUAUUCCAGUCCAAAGAGUCAUCUUCUGUGCUUAGCUGUGAUAUCUCUGUGGAUGACAAAUACAUUGUUACCGGUUCUGGGGACAAGAAGGCUACAGUCUAUGAAGUUAUUUAUUAGAGACAAAUCCGAAUGAAAACUUUACUCCUCCUUGUAGCACUUUUGCUGUAUAUUUUUCUUCUCUCUCUCUUUUUCUCUCUCUCCUUCCCAAAGUGAGGACAGAAACCGUUCAUCACAAUUGUGGAAUUUCCCCACCAGACUUGCUAUUUAAUAUCAGGCACCCAUUAAGGACUUGUAGUACCAAAUCUCCAGCUAUCUACUUGGAAGAAGAUGGAAUAAGCAUACCUAACAGGGAACUGACUCUUUCAAUUAUGUAUCAUAGCUGUAAUGUAUUUAUUUUGUUUAAAGAAAAACUUUUUAACAAGGAACUGACUAAAUAAAGUAGUCUGCUUCUGCCUUGGAUUUAAAGAGAGAAGUACAAUAACGUGUCUCAAAGAAUGACCUUCAUCCCUUCUGGACAUUUUUGCCACAUUUCUUUGAAAGGGGAAGUGUGAGUCUUUGGGCAAUUCUGCAGUUACAAAGAUUACAGAAAAAUAUUUGAUAUAUUCAUUGGAAAUGGCACUGAGAAGGGAAAGGAUUCUACAAGUGUGCAAACUAUAAAAGCGAGGAUCUCAGAGGUAGGAUUUAGAAGAGCACUCAUUCUGAAGUGCGGAACAGAAUGGAUUUUCACUCGGGAGAAGGACUUGCGUUAUUUACCGCCAGUUUUACCCAAGUCUUAGUUGAACGUCCCUGAAAUGGACGCAGGCUGAGCCAUUGUGCCAGAAACAUUGUGUUAUCUUUUUAUGUUGUUGUUGUUGCUGUUAAACUAUGACCUGUGACUUUUUUUUUUUUUGAAUGCUUAAAAAAAAUCUUUUAAGUCUGUGGAUCUGCUGAUGUACAGUGCCUUUGCUGCUAUGGAUCAAAAUCAAAAGAACUGUGUAGAUAAAUCUUUAUUGUGUAAGUAGAAAUUUACUUAAUUUCAUACUAGAAAUGGGUUAAUGCUGCAAGUUGAAAUGGACUGUUCAUUGAAGUUCCAAAUGUGGUAGCAAAAAAAAGAUAAUAAUUGUGUUAAGUGCUCAGUGUUUGAUGUCAUUAACAGUUUCGUAAUACUCUACAGUGUAGAAAGAUUUUGAUACUAAACUGUGUCAUUGUACAUAGUUCUAAUGCAUUGUAUUGACCACAAGUCCUUCUAUAAUGGUAGAUUAUCGUUUGUGCAUUCAAACUUUUAAGCAUUAAACAUAAGUAACUUGUAA